rnacentral:rRNA from 1 species
GCGGUGGAGCAUGUGGUUUAAUUCGAAGCAACGCGAAGAACCUUACCAGGUCUUGACAUCCCUGACAACCCGAGAGAUCGGGCGUUCCCCUUCGGGGGACAGGGUGACAGGUGGUGCAUGGUUGUCGGUCAGCUCGUGUCGUGAGAUGUUGGGUUAAGUCCCGCAACGAGCGCAACCCUCGACCUUAGUUGCCAGCAUUCAGUUGGGCACUCUAAGGUGACUGCCGGCUAAAAGUCGGAGGAAGGUGGGGAUGACGUCAAAUCAUCAUGCCCCUUAUGACCUGGGCUACACACGUGCUACAAUGGGCGGUACAAAGGGUCGCGAACCCGCGAGGGGGAGCCAAUCCCAAAAAGCCGCUCUCAGUUCGGAUUGCAGGCUGCAACUCGCCUGCAUGAAGCCGGAAUCGCUAGUAAUCGCGGAUCAGCAUGCCGCGGUCGAAUACGUUCCCGGGCCUU